CAGUCAUUUCUCGUGAAACGGCAGAGUUGAAUGUGGUGUACGGUUUUGGUGAGCGCAUUCUAAUUAAUCCUUAUUUCAGAAAUAUAAAUAAUUUAGGAGCAGAAACUCCUCAACCGCUCGAUAACAGAUAACAUAUUUGAUAUAAAUUGAAAUCACAGUGUGUAAAAUGUGAUUGAAUUUAUGUGCAAUCAAAUGAAAAAUAAGCGAUUGUUACGAAACAACGAGUGAAUGAAUGCAUUGAAAAUACACGAUAAUAAAAAAUGUAAGAAUAGUAAAAGCAAAGAAAUUGAGCAGAAAAUAUGGCGAUAACCGGAGAAAAUCCAAAUAAAAGAAGUGAAUGCUAAACAAAAUAUAAAUUUUUAUGUUAUUUGGUAAAAUUUUAAAAAGUUGUGUGCUUUCUAGUGUACAAAAUCGAUUGUAAAUCAAAUAAUACCUCUAAUUUAUUUUUGGCGUUAUAAAAAAUAAAAAAAAUUGUUCUCUGCGGCGCGUGUGAUUAAUCAGACUCUUAUUUGUAUAUGUAUCUAAAUAUGUUGGAUACUUUAGAUACUCCUGCGCAUAAGAGUCGAAUUUGGGUGGACGGAUAAACGUUCAGAAUUAGUCAGACCGUAAACAGUACGGCCGGUGCCUUCUGUUGAAGCACUUAACAUUCAUUGAACAAAUUUUUAAAUAAAUACUUUGCAGUUGUUUAGGAUUUUUGUACGAGGUCUCUGUUGAAAAAAAGAGAUAAAUCACAACAAACCAAAAAUCGAAAAAUAGUUUAAGAAUAAAUAAAGCGUUUGGAAAAUAUCGAGAAAUAUUUCCUUUAACGUAUAAAAAAAGCUAUACCUAUAUAACGGUAUAUCAACUCAAAUGCUUUAAAAAGUACACAUUUUAAAUAUUAUUUGAGAAAUCCAUUCAUACACACCGAUAGCCGUGCAUAAGCGCUUUGAGAGCAGAGAUUGUGCGAGUGCGCCAAGUGGCAGGCCAGUUGCUUGCCACAUGCAACGCAGCAGGUCAAUAAAAGUACAUAUACACACACUGGCAUAGAUAUAACACAUGAUUUUUCAGGAAAUCGACUGAAUAAUCAUGAGUCGUCCAACGCAGCAACGCACGAUGCCACAACAGAAGCCGCCGAAGCAGUACCUUACCGAGCAGGAGGCCAUCGCGGCCUCCGAGCUCUUCGAUCUCUUCUGCGUCGCAACGACAAUGCGUCAGAUUUUGGGCUUGCAUCGCGACAUGUGCGACAUACUGGGCUUACGACCCGCCCCGAUCAACGAAUUCUACCCGAUGUUGAAGGCGAAGAUUCGUUCGUGGAAAGCGCAGGCGCUAUGGAAGAAGUUCGAUGCACGUGCGGCGCAUCGCGUCUACGCGAAAGGAACAGCGUGCAAUGGCACGCAUGUGCUAGUCAUUGGCGCAGGUCCAUGUGGCUUGCGCACCGCCAUUGAGGCGCAGUUGUUAGGUGCCAAAGUCGUUGUGCUGGAGAAACGCGAUCGCAUUACGCGCAACAAUGUGCUGCACUUGUGGCCGUUCGUCAUUACCGAUCUGCGAAAUUUGGGUGCAAAGAAAUUUUAUGGAAAAUUUUGUGCCGGUUCCAUAGAUCACAUAUCCAUUCGGCAAUUACAAAUCAUAUUAAUGAAGGUUGCGCUGCUGUUGGGUGUCGAGAUACAUGAGAAUGUGUCCUUUGAGCGAACAAUUGAGCCGAGUGGCGAUGGCUUCGGCUGGCGUGCGGCCGUAACUCCAGCGGAUCAUGUGGUUUCAUAUUAUGAAUUCGAUGUUUUAAUCGGAGCCGAUGGUAAACGUAACACACUGGAAGGAUUCAAACGAAAGGAGUUUCGUGGAAAACUAGCUAUUGCAAUUACAGCCAAUUUCAUAAAUAAGAAAACAGAGGCAGAGGCUAAAGCGGAGGAGAUAAGCGGUGUUGCGUUCAUAUUCAAUCAGUCCUUCUUCAAGGAGCUAUAUGAGAAAACGGGCAUCGAUUUAGAGAAUAUCGUCUAUUAUAAAGACGAGACGCACUACUUUGUUAUGACCGCGAAGAAACACAGUCUUAUAGACAAAGGUGUUAUAUUACAGGAUUUCUCCGAUCCGGCCGAACUGCUCGCCUCGGCCAACGUGAGCGCCGAAAAGUUGCUCGAUUAUGCGCGUGAAGCUGCCGAAUUCUCCACAAAGUACCAAAUGCCAAAUCUUGAGUUCGCUGUGAAUCAUUAUGGCAAACCCGACGUCGCCAUGUUCGAUUUCACCUCCAUGUUCGCCGCGGAGACAUCCUGCCGUGUGAUGUUGAGGCACGGCCAUCGUUUGUUGCAAUGCUUGGUGGGUGACAGUUUGUUGGAGCCCUUCUGGCCCACAGGUUCGGGCUGUGCGCGCGGUUUCCUUUCUAGCAUGGAUGCUGCGUAUGCGACUAAACUUUGGUCUAACCCGCGCAAUAGUAUUAUGGGCGUUGUGGCGCAGCGUGAAAGUAUAUACAGACUACUUAAUCAGACCACACCUGAGAAUUUACAGCGUGACACAGGUUCUUAUACAGUAGAUCCUGCCUCAAGGUAUCCCAAUCUGAAUCGCACGGCUGUCAGCCCCUACCAGGUGAAAACGCUCAUCGACUCAGAUGAUCCAAAGGUAUUCGAGCAGCCAAUAGCCGAAAUUAUAACAACGCCAGCGUUAGCUGAGGCCCCAGCGUUGUUGCGUAAAUCCCGUCGUAGUACAGAUAUUGUGCCUGAAGCUUUGCUACAUUGGGUUUGUACUCAGCUGCAUAUGUACGAUUUCGUAAAGGAAUUACAGGAACCUGCCGACAUACUUAAAAAUGGAAAAUCACUAUGCGCCUUAAUCAGCCGUUUUCGGCCGGACUUAAUCGAUUACUCAGCAACACGUGACUUAACGCUGGCUGAACGUAAUGAAGUUGCUUUCAGAAUAUUAGAAGCGGAAUAUCAACUGCCACGCAUCAUGAGCGGUGAGAAAUCUGUAGAUCUAGAGAAAGUGGAUACACGUCACUGGCUCCACUAUUUGAACCAAGUGCGUGAAGUGUUCCGCGGUGAAGUGCCGUAUCUGAAACAUCCAAAGAUGGACAUAUCAGAGCUGCGCGAAAAAUACCGUCUCAACAAUGCGCAUGCGCAGCCAGACUUCUCGAAAUUGUUGCAACUUUCGACCAAGCCGAAAUAUCCGAAAGCAAAAAGUCCCAUUGAGGAUAUGGUGGACGUGCCGCAAGUGGUGCAACGCCGCUCGGUGCUGGAUGAAGAACGUGUGAAACGCGUGCGCAGACAUGAGCCGGCUGCAGGCGGCCCAGCAGCAGCCAGUUCGCCACAACAAGGUCAAACCGAUACACCACGUCGUGCCAAGAAGAGAAGAAAUGUCGAGAAGGCUGCUAAUAUUGAAGAACGACAAAAGCGCCUACAAGAAAUUGAACAAAAUCGCCAGGAGCGUAUAAGCAAACGUCGACAGCAACGUUAUCAACAGACACAGAACUUUUACAAGAGCUUGCAAAUGUUGCAAGUCAACACAUUGCUGCGUGAAACUGACGAUCCAACCGCAUUUGAGGACUACUCACUAUUCAUAUAUCGUCAACAUGCGCCGGAGUUCAAUGAUCGCGUGAAGGAUUUGGAGCGCAAAUUGCUGUAUCCUGAUCGCAAUCGCGGCGAUAUACCAUCAGCAAUGCCACGAAAUAAUCCGGAUGAACAGUUUAGUGAUCGCAUCAAAUCUAUGGAGCAACGCAUAAGCUCGAAGAAUGCUUGUGGCAACGAUAAGAAACCCAAAGACUUAAUGCGUGCCAUUGGCAAGAUCGACAGCAAUGACUGGAAUGUGCGCGAAAUCGAAAAGAAAAUCGAACAAUCAAAACGAACUGAAAUACAUGGUCCGAAAGGACGUGAAAAGGUGCCGAAAUGGAGUAAAGAACAAUUUUUGGCUAGACAAAAUAAAAUGGCAAAACCAACGCGUCAAGAAUCUGUAGAGGAGAAGUUCAAAGAGAUCGAUCAAACCUUAAAGAAUUUGGAUAAACAGUUAAAGGAGGGUUCCAUACUGGAAGUUGGUGAACGCGGCCGCAACAAGGUCGCAUCAAUUGCUGGGCAAUUUGUUAAAAAAGAUGAUAAAACGAGCGACGAAAAGAAUCCUACUCCCGCCGCUGUCAAUAGCGCGCCGAAAUCCAGCGCCAAGGUCGCGUUGGCAUUUAAGAAGCAAGCCGCGUCCGAAAAGUGCCACUUCUGCAAACAAAUCGUUUACUUAAUGGAAAAAAUCACCGCCGAAGAUCUCGUAUUUCAUCGUUCGUGUCUGAAGUGUCAUCAUUGUCAUACAAAUUUGCGUCUCGGCGGCUAUGCAUUCGAUCGCGACGAUCCAAAUGGACGCUUCUACUGCACGCAACACUUUAAGCUGCCAGCGAAGGCUAUACGUCCUGUAGUCAGAAAACCAGGUCAAAGGAAGCCAACUCAGCAGCAACAAGCUGCCGCCGCUGCAGCUGCUGCUGUCGACAUUACCGUUACAACAGCGGACGCUGCAAGUGGAAUCAUGCAAACAGACCUACCCAAAACGCCUGAUAAACUUCGUGGCCCCGCUGAUAGCGUUGUACAGCUCGAUUUAUUGGAUCGCGGUCAAACACCGGAACGUAUCGAAUUCGAAAAUACCGAUGCUAUGUCCGAUGGUGAACCUUCGGAGGAGCAUAUACUCGAUGAGCACGAGUGGUCGGGCAGAAAUUUCUUGCCUGAAUCUAAUCAAGAUUCUGAGUCGGAUCUCUCCAGUUCCGAUGACUCGGAUACCGAGUCCGAUGCUGAUAUGUUCGAAGAGGCAAAUGACUCACCAUUGGCGGCACAAACAUUACAAUUGGCCACCGAUUGGAUCGGCAAACAACAUUACUCCGAUAGUGAUGAUUCAGAUGAUUUUUAUGAUUCGAGUGACGGAAUUGCGGAUGACGAUGGUAAAGACGAUACCGAAGGUGAAGACUUCAAGAAGGCUCGUGAACUACGUCGAGAAGAAGUGCGCCUACAGCCACUGCCCGCGAACUUGCCCACUGACACGGAAACUGAGAGUCAAUUACCAGCGGAAAAUAAUGAAAGCAUUGAAAAUGUAGAAAUGAUUCCGGUUCCGACGGGUAAUGAGCCUAUUGAACAGCCAGAGUUAAAGCAAGAUCCUAAACCAGAUAUUGAUAAGUGUUCCGAAAAUUCUUAUAACUCUGAAAAAUCCUUCAAGUCGGUGGACUCUUUUGCUGGUGACAUAGCACCACUUACCACACACGUCUCCUCUAAAGGGCCACCACCUACAAAAACGGAUAUUGAGAAGUUGGAACAAAGUACUGGACGCCGCUUUAGCGCCGAAAUUGAAGCAAUCAAUGAGAAACUACAUCGCCUCAACAGUGUGGUCAAAAUGAGUAAGGAUAUCGAAACCAUAGCCAAAGAAAAUUUAGUAAAGAGCGAUAUACUCAAGAAGCUAACAAUGAAAGAAAAAUGGCUGGCAGACAACUCUGCGAGCAACUCAAAUCCACUAGCACCCAAGUCGGCAUUUGAAAAUCGCUUUGCGCCGAAACAGGAGGUGCUAAAAGAGCAGAAAGAAAAUGCGAAAGCUGAUGAGAAUAUAAAACAGCCUACCGCAUUGGCUGAAAGUGUGUUGGAGAAGUUAAAAACAGAAUUAAAAUCCGAAAAGAGUAACGAGAAUGCCAGCACAGAUAUUAAAAAGGCUGCCGCGGCUCAAAAAGCCACUUCACCUGAAGAGGUAUUGGCGAGUUUGAAAGCAGAGAUAAAAUCAGCUUCGCUUAAUCGCCAAGGCAGUCUUAAGAGACAACAGCUAAGUCCUACUGCCAGUCCUAGCGCCAGCAAAAAGCCCAGUGCAAGCGCUAGUCGCUCCAAUAGUUUUAAGAGCAAAGCUACACAGGAAAACAAAGAAUCUGCUAAAAGUAGCGAGCAGUCUGUUAGUCGUACAAAUAGUCUUAAGCGUUCGGAAAAAUUCACAUCUAAAGACGAGGUGAUAGCCAACGAUAGCCGAAUGCAAAUACAAAACAUAUUGGGUCUUGUGAAGGACAUUGAUGAUAGCAAAGAAAAGGGAUUUGGUCCUAAUCGGUCGAAUUCAGAUAUGGGUAAGCUGUUUUAUGACGCGGAGAGUAAAUUUUCACCAAAGGUCGACAGACGAUUGAUGCAGGAAAAGUUGAAGGAAAUCGAAGCAAAGAGUUUCUCCGGCACAAUGGACGCCAUAAAAUCGCAAAUGGUUGUGCCAACUGUUAGUUCCCAAGCAAACCCAUCCGUAGAUCUCUCUAAAUAUUUUCCCGAUCAAAAGCAACAGAAAACCAAUGCCGCUGCGGUCAAUAAAAACCAAAAAAAUUUAAAGGAUGUUGAUUUAGCGAAAUACUUUCCCAGCAGUCCGACGCCACAGCGCCGCAGUGCCGUAGUGACUGUAGCAGACAAGUUGAAGAAAUCGCAAACGGAGAAUGCCAUUGCGCCUGCACCGACUACAUCCACAAAUGCAAGCAAUAAAAACACAACUCCGGUUAAGGUCAACAAACUAGCGCCGAAGCGACAAGCUUCACUGGGAAACGCCGCUUUCAGUUUGCGUGAUCAUCAGUUGGACGGCGCCGUUGAUUUGUCAAAGAAACAUACACCAGUCGUGGUCAAUAAAGAUGUUGCAGCAAAAAGCGGUCAAACCGCCGUCACAACCACAACUGCAACGGCCGCUGUGACAAAGAAGGGCAAUGUGAAGAUAAUAAAAAAGAUUGUGCCAAAAAAGAAGGUGGGAGGAAACGCAGCGAAAAAGGCCAAUAGCGUACAAGACAAAUCUAUUGUACCACGUGAUGAAUCUGAUCGGGUGCUAGAUGAAAUUCUACAAUCCUCCGACAAGGAGAUGCAUUCACCCAGUGCGGAGUAUUCGAAACUAUUCAAGGAGGAAAAAUCACCUAGUGAAGAUCUUUCAGAUAAAAUUGAGCGUAUGUUCCAAGAAACAGGCAUAGAUUUAGGCAUAGCCGAACCUGUAACAAUUAGCAAUAAAAAACGAUUGCUGAAAACCAAAUCGCUGGGGGAGGGGGAAUUCGAGCGACUCUCAAAAGAGAGAAGCAUGGCGAAAGACGAAUUGACAACUAAAGAGGACGGCGACCGACCCAUUGGUGUACAAGGUUUACUGGCACGUUUCGAAUCAAUGAGUUCGGUUAAGUCCUCGGAGCAAUCGUUCAAACUGCGGCGUAUGGAAUCAACCGUAAGCAAUUUAAACAAGUCGCGUGAGUCACUAAUUUCUCAUGAUUCUGUCAUGUCGCGUGAGUCCGACUCGUUGAGUGAUUUGGAGAAGACAAUGGAAUAUCUGAAGUCUGAAUGGCGUAAUGAAGCAACCAAUUUUCUACAAAAGAAACGCGAUAACUUCUUUUCAAAGAAACGUGCGAUUGAAGAAGAAGAAGCGGCAGCCAAAACCGAAGCAUUGAAAAAGUCAAAAUACGAAGAUUUGCCAGUGCAAUAUCGUGAGUCGAAGUUUGCCAAGUUUUUCGGUAUCAAAUCGAAAUCACCAGAAAAAAUUAAAACCAAAUCACCUGAGAAGAAAAAUGUUGCAACCACAAAAAACACUUUAGUUAAUGACGGCACAGUGAAGAAGUCAUCAUCGCCAAGCAAGAACUUAAAUAAAAACACUGAAACGAAAGCGAAAACGUCUACAAAUUUACAAGUUAACUCAAAGAAUGCCAAACGUAAGUCGCCUUCUCCAAAAAAAAGUCAAAGCAACAAUUCCGAAAACACAAAAAAUAACACCGACAGGGCUUCCAAACCAGCAGCAGCAGCAAGGAAGACGAUAUCGCCGCCUAAAAGUCAAAUGGAAGACUUCGAAACCUUACUAUUAGUAGAAAAGGGUAGUAUAAUCAACUUAGAGACCAAGGUAGCGCCAGUUCUUGACCAAAAUAUUAUUGCGGCUCAAGUUCCUUGCGAUCCAAACCGAUCCAAUAGCGUUGCGUGCAAUGCUACUGACACGGCUAUUCAAACCAAAACUUUAUCGCGCCAGAACUCCAACAACUCUGAUAAUUCAGCACCAGAAACACCGGUAUUAAAAAGGCGACCACUUGUAGAGGACAUAAAAAAUUUACCAAAGACAGGCUGUGACAAAUCGCUAAGUAAUUCACGCCGCAAUUCCGCCGCAAGUUUACAUUCGCGACGGUGUUCAGACGUCUCCCUGGCUGAAAAACUGGAUACUGUAGCCACAAAACUAACGCAAAGUUCGCAAGAUAAUCGAAAUGUGGAUGAACUGUUUCAAAAUAUUGUAGAACGCCUUUCUAACGAACACAGCGAACAAAACGCCAAUACAGAAGAGGAAUGUGACUCAUUGUGUACGUCUAUUAGUAAAAGCCCCAGUGCUGCACCGACCACAGUACGUAUGCGGGGCUCGUCAGAGGAUGAAAGCAUCGAAAAGUUAUUUAGUCAGUUCUCAGAUGAAAUGUUGGUGAAUGUGGAGUUUGAUUCGAACGAUGAAUUGGUGGGCAUCACACCACGCAUACCAUUGAAGAGCACCACGAUCGAAGAGGACGCAGAUUUUGUUGAUCGACUUGAGUCUUUAGAAAAGGAUGAGGUGCCUACAAUCAAAUUUGAAACACUGGAAUCUCCCAAAGCGUCAUCUGAUUUCACACAAGUCGAUGAGCAUGAAAAUAACGAAAGUGUCACGUCUAAUGCUGAUCAAAAAACACUCUGCAAUCCCUCAGCUAUCAAAGCAGGUCCCUUAACUCUCGAGAGUAUACAGACAAUGCUUUAUAUGGAACCCCAAGAAAUGCCUUUCCCCAUCCGUCCGCAGCGGCGACAGAAAAGUACCUCAUCCUCCAGUGAAGCUUCAGCGCCCAUUGCACCACAACGCAUCAAACAUAAAUUAGCAAAAUUAUGUCCCGACAAUAUGCCUCCAUCGGUGCAGGAUUUAAUGCAAACAACAUUCACAAAAAGUUUAACUGCUGAAUUAGCAGCAAAUGGUGGCAUUUCAAUACACAAGUUCCCACGUAACAUAUCCGAAGAUGAAUUGGAGGAUGUGAAGGAAAGCCAUUACCAGAACCAACCAACCUCUGUUCAACGAUCAAACCCAUUGAAAGAAAAAACGAGCAACGUACAAAGCUCAAAUAGUGUUGUAGUGGAACUUCCUAUUAAGGAUAUACCUAAAGAAACUUCAAACGUUGCGGAAAUAAAACAAAAGGAAGAUGUGAAGAUCAAUGAUGUGCAAACCAUUAAAGAUGAAGAAAGUAGAGCCAAUCAUUCUAAUAAUAAGCAACCAAUUCAAGAUAUCACUUCGAAUGUGAUUCCUGAAAUGCCAGUAAAAACUGAGACUUCUAUUAAUCAAAUAAUAACUCCAUCCAAUGAACCUGAAAUCGCCCUUCGAAGAAAUUCACAGGCCUCCAUUGAUGAAAAAACAAGUAAUGCAACCGAAUCUGCAGUAAUGCAGCGAACCCUUCGAAGAAAUUCACAGGCCUCCAUUGAUGAAAAAACGAGUAAUGCAACCGAAUCUCCUCCAGCAAUGCAGCGAAACCAACCGCGUUCCGCAAUAAACGGGAAAACAAUUGAAACCGAAACGAGUUCUAACACACCAAGGCUUUCAAAAUCUUCAGUCUUAGAACAAACAACAUCGCCUCUCAAACAGAGCCCGUUAUUACAGCGAAAAUUAUCGCAAUCUUCUACUGGCAGCGAUAAGAUACAGACUCUCAAUGACUCUCCGAUCACGCAAUGCAAACCAACGCAAUAUACCAAUGUGGACCUUGGUAACUCUCCAUUGAUGCAAUGGCGGUUACUACAAGCUGCAAGCAAUUCAGACUCAGCAGAGAAUCUAUCCACGGCCACUAAUCUUAAAGACAGCUUAAGGGAAGAUAAUACAAAAUCAUCAAACAGCAAUGAGAUUUUGAGCGUACCAAAUUCCAGCAAAGCCUCAAGUAAGGAGCGAUCGUUGGAAUGGGAUAUGACUAAAAUGCCGGCGAGUCCUAUGCCGCGACGUAAAUUCAUUCAUGCCGAACGUCGUGGUUUAGACGAAACUAGAAUAAAAGAUGUGUCGCCAACGAGUUCAAUAAGACUGCUGAAUAAUAUUUCCUCUAACAGCAGUGACUCAGAUGAACGUCGUAUAAUAGAAGAUUUCGAAAUGGAACGCCGUCAAGCAUUGAUACAACGUGACAAAGAAUAUAAAGAAUUGGAGAAAAAAGAAAGAGAGAAUGAAAAUAAACUAGAAGUCAAGAAACCACAAUCGGGCAAUAAAAUCAACAGCAACAACAACUCUAAGUGCACAACACCACGUCCCACACCACUGAGUUCGCGUCGCGGGACACAAGAUAGUAUUAGUACACAAAGAGAGGUCACACCACCAAACUUUAAAAAGCUUGUAAUACCAGCGGAAACAGAAGAUUUACCUUCACUUAGUUCCCGUUGUAGCUCAUUUGCGUUUAUCGAGCUGAUGAGCAAUGGUGAAGCGAGGGAAGCGCCGAUGCCACAAAAGUUGAAAAUUCCCACAAAACCGCAACCGAUAGUGUUACCAGAGAUCAAUGAACCUAUAGCCGAAGUUUUUCAGAAUAGACCAUGGCCUAAGGCGGAGCUUUCACCUGAGAUCGAUAUGAGUGAUUCACCCGAUACGGUGAUCGAGGUGAAACGCGCCAAUUCAGCUCCACGAUCACCGGUAGCCGAAGUUUUUCGUAAUCGCAAAUGGCCUGAUGGCAAAACGGUAUUCAACGAAGAGAGUGAACAAUACUCAGACGACGAUGACUUCAUGAGAAAGAUCUCCAAGAAUAGAAGCAAAUACCGCAAAAUGCAAUCACAUUCACCACAACCAACUACUCGGCAUAGAUUGGCUACCGACGAAAUAAGUGAUGGCAAAAUGUCGUCAAAGUCAAUCUCAGAUCUUCGUAAAGAUUCACCUAUCACCUCAAUCUAUGAAGCGGCACCCUCGAUUAAUUUUGGUACGCGGUCGUCACCAUCGAGUGUUGACAAUUCAUCUACACACACUUCGAUCAGUGGUGCGCCGAAACGACCGUUGCGACACAUACCAGUUGGUCAAACGCCCGAACAAACGAUAGACGCCAGUACACGAAUGCUGUUGGAUCGCAGCAAACGCUUACAUAAUCGUAAAAGUGAGUUUAUCAAUGAACGUGCUGCUGAACGGAAUCCAUAUUUACGCGAUGUAGUCAACGCAGAGCGCAUAGAACGUGAGGCACUCGAUGCAGCGGAGGACGAGUUGGAAUGUUAUCGACCCAACGGGUAUAAGAGCAAACAGCUGACGCGUUUUCCCACUUCACGAACACUUGGACGCGAUCAUAGCAGAUUGUCAAAUAGUCAUUAUAGUUACACGCCUACAUAUAAUUCAGAUUAUGCGUUGAGCAACCGACGCCUUUAUGGCACACCGACAUUACCAUAUACCAGCACCACUUCUUUAAGCCACAAUCCAUAUCUGACUACAGGUAGUACGGCGUAUGGUGGCGCCCUUGGACGCAGCAUGCAUUUCAACGACUACACUAGGCGUAGUCCUUCGCGGCACCGUGAACGGGAACACUCCAAAGAAUCGUGCGUUAUAGCUUAAAAGAAAUAUGCAUUCAUUUAUUUUGUUAGAUGCACUAAAUUUCCAUUUAACAUUAGAUUUUGGAGAUAUUAACACAAUGCUUUCAACGAACAACAACAACUACAACACGAACAAAACUCAAAGGGAGCCAAGAAACUUCAAAGAGUUGUUUUUUAUCCCAUACUUUGGCUCAAAUAACGAACGAAACAAGUUGAAAACAUAAGUACAUUCACAUAUUUGUAAGAGUUAUAAACAAUUUUGAAUAAAAAAAAUUUUAAUAACAAACUAAUGUAAUGAAACCAACGCCAGUCUCAACAAAAUAGUACAACAUACACAUAUCAAAGUCUUUAGUUAGCAUUACACACACUAAAGAAUUAAAGUAAUCAAUUUAAAUAAUUGUAAACGUAAACACAAACAUAAACAAAAACAAAAAAAAAUAUUCGUACGACCCUCCAACGACCAACCAACGGACCAAGCAACCAACCAACAACCAUUCAACCAAAAACGUCUGCCUAACUGCCCGCCAGCUUGUUUACGCUCGGUGUGCCUCAAACAAACAUAUAAAUCCUUGAAUGCGGUUAACAAAAUUGUCUCCCACACAUUCACAUUUCAGAGCGGAAAAGGAAUUGAAAAAGUUAAAACAAAAAUUAUGACAAAGUGCAAUAAGAGAGAGUUGAGGCUUAACACUCAAUAACCACCAUCGGGUACGAUCUGUGAAGGUUCAAAGCGAAUCAGAGACGACAUCUCCCGAAGAGGUUGAGCUCAAUUCAGCUACGGAAAUUUCCACUGAUUCGGAGUUCGAUCACGAUGAAAUAAUUCGUGAGACACCUAAAAUAUUCAUCGAUGAUACUCACCUCA